AAGUCUACUGUUAAAUCUUGAGGCUCAACCUCAAAUCUGCAGUAGAAACUAGGAGACUUGAGUAUAGUAGGGGUAGAGGGAAUUUCCAGUGGAGCGGUGAAAUGCGUAGAUAUUGGAAAGAACACCGAUGGCGAAGGCACUCUACUGGGCUAUUACUGACACUCAGAGACGAAAGCUAGGGGAGCAAAUGGGAUUAGAUACCCCAGUAGUCCUAGCCGUAAACGAUGGAUACUCGAUGUUGGACGUAUCGACCCGUUCAGUAUCUUAGCUAACGCGUUAAGUAUCCCGCCCGGGGAGUACGCUCGCAAGAGUGAGACUCAAAGGAAUUGACGGGGGCCCGCACAAGCGGUGGAGGAUGUGGUUUAAUUCGAUGCAACGCGAAGAACCUUACCAGGGUUUGCUAGAAGUGUUGGUUUUCUGAAAAGAAUUCCUUAUUCCGCUUCUACAGGUGGUGCAUGGCUGUCGUCAGCUCGUGUCGUGAGAUGUUGGGUUAAGUCCCGCAACGAGCGCAACCCUUAUUUUUAGUUCUAUUGUCUAGAAAGACUGCCGGUGACAAACCGGAGGAAGGUGAGGACGACGUCAAGUCAUCAUGCCCCUUACACCCUGGGCUACACACGUCCUACAAUGGGUAAGACAAUAAGUUGCAAAUUCGCGAGAAUAAGCUAAUCUUUGAAACUUACUCCAAGUACAGAUUGCAGGCUGCAA
rnacentral:rRNA from 1 species